rnacentral:misc_RNA from 1 species
UGAUUGCUAUUAAUAAUUUUUAAAAGCAAUUGGCCACAACUGGAAAAGAACCUUUUGGAUUUCAUUCGUAAUUAGCCAAAACUUUCGUACUCUAUUUUUCUUGGCAAGUUCUUACUUCUUCUAUAUACAACAAAUAUUAACUUCAAUAAGAUUAGUCCCUUUAAUAUAAGGGUACUUUGGCACAUUACUUUUAAGCCUUCCAAAACAUGAAGCAAAUACCUAGAAUUACAAACAGAAAAUGACCAAAAGGUCAGAGAUAUGAGCAAGGGGUGUGUGUGUCCGCUGACAAGCUUUAGAAUUCAUUAUAGAGGCCUGUGAAGGAGAACUACAGUACACAACCAGCAAAUUUUGUUAGAUAAGACUCUACAAUGCUUCAAACCCUGUUCAGAAAGAAAAUGAUCAAGGAACAAGAAAGCAUUACAUCCUCAACAUAUACUGUAAAGGCAUAUCUUAACAAAUUACAACCUGAGGGGCAUGCAAGCCAAUUGAACAUAUUAGCAAACUCAUGUUGACAAUUGAUAUACAAUUUUUUUCCCUUUUUCAGGCUUUCCUUCUCAAUUAGGUACAAAAGAAA